rnacentral:rRNA from 1 species
UACAGAGGUCCCAAGCGUUGUUCGGAUUCAUUGGGCGUAAAGGGUGCGUAGGCGGCGCGGUAAGUCGGGUGUGAAAUCUCGGGGCUUAACUCCGAAACUGCAUUCGAUACUGCCGUGCUUGAGGACUGGAGAGGAGACUGGAAUUUACGGUGUAGCGGUGAAAUGCGUAGAGAUGUGGAGGAACACCGAUGGCGAAGGCAGCCCCCUGGGUCAAAACUGACGCUCAUGCACGAAAGCGUGGGGAGCAAACAGG